CCAGACUCCUACGGGAGGCAGCAGUGGGGGAUAUUGCACAAUGGGGGGAACCCUGAUGCAGCGACGCCGCGUGGGUGAAGGAGCGUUUCGGCGCGUAAAGCCCUAUCGGCAGGGAGGAAAAAGACGGUACCUGACUAAGAAGCCCCGGCUAACUACGUGCCAGCAGCCGCGGUAAUACGUAGGGGGCAAGCGUUAUCCGGAUUUACUGGGUGUAAAGGGAGCGUAGACGGCGACGCAAGUCUGGAGUGAAAGCCCGGGGCCCAACCCCGGGACUGCUCUGGAAACUGCGUCGCUGGAGUGCGGGAGGGGCAGGCGGAAUUCCUGGUGUAGCGGUGAAAUGCGUAGAUAUCAGGAGGAACACCGGCGGCGAAGGCGGCCUGCUGGACCGUGACUGACGUUGAGGCUCGAGAGCGUGGGGAGCAAACAGGAUUAGAUACCCUAGUA
rnacentral:rRNA from 1 species